rnacentral:rRNA from 1 species
GCGCGAAAACUUCGCAAUGCGCGAAAGCGCGACGAGGGGAUUCCAAGUGCAUGCACUUAGUGCAUGCUGUUUGCUAGUCCAAAUAGCUAGUAGAGUAAGGGCUGGGUAAGACUGGUGCCAGCCGCCGCGGUAAUACCAGCGGCCCGAGUGGUGAUCGUUAUUAUUGGGUCUAAAGCGUCCGUAGCCGGCCCGGUAAAUCUCUGGGUAAAUCGUUGAGCUUAACUCAGCGAAUUCUAGGGAGACUGCCGGGCUUGGGACUGGGAGAGGUCGGAGGUACUCCGAGGGUAGGGGUGAAAUCCUGUAAUCCUUGGGGGACCACCGGUGGCGAAGGCGUCCGACCAGAACGGGUCCGACGGUAAGGGACGAAGCCCUGGGGCGCGAACCGGAUUAGAUACCCGGGUAGUCCAGGGUGUAAACGCUGUGCGCUUGGUGUUGGGGGUCCUUUGAGGGCAUCCAGUGCCGGAGAGAAAUUGUUAAGCCUGCCGCUUGGGGAGUACGGUCGCAAGACUGAAACUUAAAGGAAUUGGCGGGAGAGCACCGCGAACGGGG